rnacentral:rRNA from 1 species
UACGGAGGGGGCUAGCGUUGUUCGGAAUUACUGGGCGUAAAGAGCUCGUAGGCGGUUUGUCGCGUCGGCUGUGAAAUCCCGAGGCUCAACCUCGGGUCUGCAGUCGAUACGAGCAAACUAGAGUGUUGCAGGGGAGACUGGAAUUCCUGGUGUAGCGGUGAAAUGCGCAGAUAUCAGGAGGAACACCGGUGGCGAAGGCGGGUCUCUGGGCAACAACUGACGCUGAGGAGCGAAAGCGUGGGGAGCGAACAGG